rnacentral:lncRNA from 1 species
CAUCGAAGUGCUGAUAGAUUAGUCAGGAAAAAGAGUUGCUGCCUUCAUCUCCCCUUGUGGGCUUUGGCCUCUUUCUCCCAAUUGUCCUUUGGCAGAGGUGCAGAACGCUGAUGAGAUACCCCUUGGACUCCUUCCAGAAGAGUCUCCCAUUGAGGCAAUUAGGUGAGAGCUGACGACAAUUUAGCGAGCACGCAGCGAUGCCAAGGGUCUCCCGGAUCAAGAGAAGCAAAAUAUGCUGAAAUUCAAGAACUGGGCAUGAAUGACUGUGUCACUCGCCAGAGCUGAGCCACCUCCAAGCAGUGAGCCAGGCCAAUCAUGUGAGGCCCUGCCACCUUCAGACAGUGUCCUGUCCCCCUUCACCAGGAACAAACAGAGGACGGCCUGUCGCCUCUCAGCUCCCUGCCUGCCCUCAGACUUUCACAUACUCUUUAUCGAGUUUUACAGAGCUUUUCUGACUCUGUAACAAACAGUCAAAUAAAAAUGCUGUGUUCCCAAAACUAGAAAAUGUUCUCCAUCUGGACUUUUCCCAGGGCCUCAAAUUUACAUUGUUGAAAUUCUUUAUCCCAUGCUGCCCUCCUCACCAGCCUUUUUGAAAUGGAUAAUUUACCAUUAAGGAAAAUCUGCACUUUAUUAUAUAAAUAGUAAAAGUACUGUGCUUAUUUAACUCUCAAAAGAA